AGGCAAGAUGUUGGCAUAGCAGUUGUGCUUGGAACCUGCUAUGCCGACGUACUGCCAU
rnacentral:pre_miRNA from 1 species